UACGAAGGUGGCAAGCGUUACUCGGAAUUACUAGGCGUAAAGGGCAGGUAGGUGGUUUGGCAAGUCUGUUGUGGAAGCUCCCGGCUUAGCUGGGAGAGGCCAACGGAAACUGCCAGACUUGAGUGUAGGAGAGGGUACUGGAAUUCUCGGUGUAGCGGUGAAAUGCGCAGAUAUCGGGAGGAACACCAAUGGCGAAAGCAGGUACCUGGACUAUUACUGACACUAAGCUGCGAAAGCUAGGGGAGCAAACAGG
rnacentral:rRNA from 1 species